rnacentral:lncRNA from 1 species
UUUUCUUCCUAUCUCCACGUUAGGAUCCUUCAUCCUCAAGUUGUGGAAGAGGUAAGUGAAGAUCCUGAGCUUCUUUGAUGAUUUUGAAAGGUUUUAUGAAGUUUGUAUGGGUAGUAUGCAUGUUUAGGUUUAGGUGAGGUUUUGGGUGAUUUGAGGUGUUCAAGCAUGUUUAAGUGUUGUGUGUUAUGUUUGCUUGGGGUUUUAGGAUAGUUUUAGACCCCUUUGUGCAUAUAUAUGUGUAUAUGCUAGUUGGGAGUAGUUGAUGUGCAUGUUGGUAGGUUUUUGGGCAAAGUUUGCAUGAAACAGAGCAGGG